rnacentral:lncRNA from 1 species
GCUGCCCUCAGGAGGGUUAUACCCCGUGGGGGUGGGGGGUGGGCAAUCCUGCAGCAGAUAGAGCUACAUUUGGGAGCUGCACAGCGGGCACAGGGGGCCGAUGGGGACACAGAAGGAUCAGGAAACCCUGCUAGGAGUAGAGGCAUCUUGAAAUUACCAGGCCAUUCCAGGCAUCCCCAUCCUAAGGUAUGGCUGGGUGUUGAGCCCCUGUGUGGGGCAGCAGGAAGGGCCUGAACUGACCUGUAGCUCUCAUCUAGGGGGGAUUCUGUCCGCCAGGGAACACUGGCAAUGUCUGGGGACAUUGGGGUUAUCACAGCCUCAGGGGAGGGCGCUGUUGGCAUCUGGUGGGUGGAGGCCAGGGAUGCUGCUUAACCUGCUGUGGUACACAGGGCAGGCCCCAAUGUGGAGAGUAGUCCUGCCCUCAAUGUCAGUGGCUUUAACUCUGGGUUGACAAGAU